rfam:Flavobacteriaceae bacterium TMED147 1631, whole genome shotgun sequence.
UAACCUCUGACGAUAAACGUGCAUGUUG